rnacentral:lncRNA from 1 species
UGGUUGUCCCAUCUCUCUCUCUUUAUAAAAUGCAUAUACAUGCAUCUACCUAUGACCAGCAUAUGUACACACGCAUACAUACACAUUCGUGCAUGCUCACAUCCAAACACACACACACACACACACACACUCAGAUUUGAAUAGCACUAUCAUUUAUUUUCUCCACACACAUCAACACAUAAACAAGUACAUGCAUAUGUACACACGCAAAUGCACGUGCACACACAGACACACACGCUAAAAUAUGCAGUAAAGUUUCAUUUAAUUCUCACCUACUCAUAUCUCGUAGCAUAUGUUUGCAGAUGGAACGUACCCAACACAAUGGCAGAGUGUUCAUCUACCACAAGUUGAGGUUCUAGUUUUGAAUUUUAAGACAGAGAACAAUGCCUUACCUGAAUUUGUGCAGAAAAUUGACAAACUGAAGGUUCUAAUAGUCACAAACUAUGGUUUAUCACCUACUGAAUUGAGUAAUUUUAAUCUUCUGGAAUCAUUAUCAAAUCUGAAGAGAAUCAGAUUAGAGAGCAUUUCAAUUCAUUCCAUAACCAAGAACUGGGUACCAUUGAAGAGUCUAAAGAAGAUAUCGUUAUUCAUGUGUAAUAUGGGUCAAGCUUUCCACAAUUGUUCCAUCAAAAUUUCUGAUGCCUGGCCAGGUCUAGAGGAAAUGAAUAUCGACUAUUGCGAUGAUUUGGUGGAACUGCCUGCCGAGCUCUGUGAUCUUGUUCAUAUGAAGGUGCUUAGUAUCACCAACUGCCAUCAGCUAUCUUGCUUGCCUGAAGAGAUCGGAAAUCUGAAGAAUUUGGAUGUAUUGAGACUAAGGUCCUGUACAGAGUUGGUAAGGCUUCCGGUUUCAAUUGAAAACCUCACUAAGUUGCGCUGCCUUGACAUGUAUAAUUGUUUCGGCAUUAGGAAGUUGCCUGAAGGCAUUGGUAAGAUGAGAGGUUUAAGAAAGAUCAACAUGGGACAAUGCUCAAGAUUGGAGGAGUUGCCUCUAUCAGUGUGGGAUCUUGACGAGCAGUUAGAGGAAGUGAUUUGUGAUGAAGAGAAGAAACCUUUCUGGGAUUCCUUCUUAGCCAGAGACAAAAUCAAGGUGACAAAAGAAAAAUCCAAUCUGAAUUGGCUCGAAAAGCCUCAGUUAUGAGACCUGUCUUUCCUCAAUAAAUGUUGGAGCAACAUGUUUCUGAUUUGUGUUGCAUUGUUUUUCUCAAUAAAUGUUUCGUUCUUGGUUCUGUCCAAUUUCUAUGUUUCAUCAUAUGAGUUUGUAAUACUAUUUAUUUCAAACUCUGUUGAGUCUUAAGAUAUUUUGUGGUGUUGUUUUUUUGUAUAAUUAUCAUGUUAUUGUUUUACACAACAUAAAUAAUGUGUAUUAUAUUUUCUUGGAUUAUACGAAACAAAAUGUGUUUUAACUGCACCUAAUAUGUUAAUUAUGCAUUUGGUUAUAUCUAUGGUCGGCCCCUCGACCUGCAAUAUGGUUGGUGGGUCAUCUCUGUCACCAUAUGAAAGAUUCCCAGACAUGGUGAUGCAGUUUCCUGGUUAAUUUCCAAGUCUCCCUCCACAGUCAAUUGAACUUCUUUUUGUUUAUCCUACCCUGCUUAAUCACCAACAACGGAAGAGAAAAUCGAACUUUGUAUUGCUUGUUUUCUGAAUCUCUUUAUUUAGGGUUCCAAAUUUAAGAGUGUCACACUUUUUCAUUAUCAUCCAUCCAAUCUAAAAAAUAAAUUGAGUCAGUGGUCUCUUUUUAUUAAUUUUUAACACAUGUUUUCUUUUAUUAUCAUUUUUAUUAUUUAAUAAAAUUGAGAGAUAGGGAUUGGGAACUAUUGUUUUAUUGGGAAAUUAUCUCUUUCUAAUUGUUCUAAGCGGAAAGGAAGUAACCUACUUUAUAGUUGAUGGCUAAUCUCGAAGUCUUGGUUCUUUUUUACUGUCUUGUGUUGUUGUAGAGAGUAAAGCUACUAUUGUAAUCGGACGACCAACUUUAUGUGUAGUUCUACCCGCCUAAUCCAUUAUCAUCCGACCAACUCUUUUUAUUUAUUUUUAAUUCUUUCUCGCACCUGUAUUCUUGAGUAUUCUUUUUUAUUGUUUAAUACAAUUUGGAGAUAGGGGAUUGAGAAUUGUUGUUCUGUCUGGGAAUUAGCUCUUUCUAAUUGCUCUAAGUGGGAAGGAAGUAGUCUAUUUUAUAGUUGGUGACUAAUCCCCAUGUCUUGGUUCCUUUUUACUGUCUUGUGCUAGUUUUAGAGAAUAAAGCUACUAUUGUAAUCUGACGACCAAACUUUAUAUGAAGUAUAGUUCGAUUUGCCUAUCCAUUGUCAUCCUUCCAACAAAAAAACAAAUAGAGUAAGUCAAUGGUCUCUUUAAAAUAAAGUUUUGAUUGAAUGAAUCAAGUUUUGAGUUUUGCUCUUUUAAAAUAAAGUUUUGAUUUUUUACAGCUAAAAAUACGAAAUUCUUAAUUGAAUACACCCUUAAGUUUAAAAGGGUAGAUCAGUAAAUUGCCUACAUGUUAGGAGUUAAAGUUACUUUUUUGGGUUAAAUCUUCCUCUUGUUACUGUUACUAGUUUUUUAUAAGAAAAGAACCACCACCGUCGUGGUUGUUGAGUUGGAAGUGAGUGGUGACUGGAGAGAGGAAACACAAUUGAAAGGUUCCAACUUGCAGCUGAUUGCGAGUGAACACAACAGUUUUCAAAAAAGGGAUGGAAAAUGGGUUUCUGGUAGACGGAUUCCUUGUCCACAAAGAAAUAAAAAGAGAAAUCCUCCCAUGCACACCAAUUGUUUUGCGUUGCGGUCCACAAAAUUGGAAAAAGAAAAAGAUGCAGGCUUCAUCAGAUCAACGAUUGCAGGAUAAAUUUAAAUUUUAAAAUUAUUUAAAAUAUUAUUUUUAUUAUAUUAAAAUUUAUCUUUGGAUCAUUGCAUUGUAAUUACGCUCUUAUCGGAAGCCAUGAGUGCGCUAUUUUGGUUAGCGGAAGCUUCUUCUUGGUCAGUCAAUGGCAAAGUCAAUAUAUUAUUUUUGAAGUUUCCCACAAAGCAGCUUUGCAAUUUGCUUGGUAGGUCAAUAAGGUAGGUAAAAGUAAUAGUCACUGGAUUCAACUAAGAAAUUCAUAGCUUCCUAUUGAAGCAAAAUCGGAUUCUUCCUUAUAUCAAGAGCAUUUUAUUUGGUUUUUUUUCAUACUGCUAUGUUCUUCUCUUGUCCUCAAGUUUUGAUUGAAACGAUUACAAGUUAGUUGCGGAUUUUUCGAUGUCGGGUUUUGCUUAAGAGCAGCAAGAAUAGGAGGAGUUGGGGACCUUUUUGCAGGCGCUGUUGUAGGAAAUGGUUUACCGAGCUGUAUGAGGUUGUUAAGGAUGGAAUUGGAUCCCAUCCGGAUCCACUUUGUGGGAAUUUUAGAGAUCCCCACAUCUUAAUCAUUCAUCGUGUAUCGUGCGAUCAACAAUCAUUUAACUUUUUUUAUUUAAAAUUAAACACAAAUAGAAUCUGACGAAAACUGGCUGCACGAUAUAGGAUGAAUGAUUAAGAUGUAGAGAUCCUAUGUGGGGAUCCCUAGGAUCCCCACAAAGUGGAUUCGGAGAGGAUCCCUUUCCAUUAAGGAUGUCAAGGACAAGACUGAUGUUUGCAGAGCUCCUCGUAGCUCCAAAUUACUAGUUUUGUCCCUGGUGUUCCUUCCAUGACAAUUUAUAAAUAGGUCCCACAUUUAUCACAUCAAUUUUGCGAAGGGCUAGAUAGUCAGAGUGACUGAAAACAUAAAUUGAUGAGAUCCAAAAACCUCUUGGUACAAUGUGAGAAAUUAGAAACUCGUGACCCAUUUUGAAACUCAUUUUAAACCUAAUGGGUGUAAAAUGUAGUUAGUCCUAAAGUUAACAUACUAUAAUUUAUAUGAAAGUAUGGAACAUGAAAAAACUGACAUGAAACUUCAACAAAUAUGGCAUACCAAAGUAGGCUAGAAUGGCACAAUAAUGAUAAAAGAAACGCAAGUUCAUAGCGCGCGGAAGUUGCUAAUGCCUUAGCUUCUUUCAGUGCGGCUGCUAGUGCCUAUAAGUCUAUAAAUGUUGGACGACUGUUAUAGAUUUUGUAGUUAUCGCUUAUACUUGUGACCUUGAGUUUCGUCCUGUUUUUCAUUUUCGUUGUUUGUUUUUCUCUUCGGGGGUUUGGGUUGCGUUCCCCCGCCUAUAUUCUUUUAUUAUCGUUUUUAUUAUUUAAUAAAAUUCGGAGAUAGGGGACUGGAGGAUGUUGUUCUAUCGGAGAAUUCGCUCUUUCUAAUCGCUUUGAGCGGGAAGAAAGUAGCCUACUUUGUUGUUGAUGGCUAAUCUUGAUGUCUUGGUUCAUUUUUACUGCCUUGUGCUGGUUUAGAGAGUAAAACUACUAUUAUAAUCCGACAACCAAACCUUAUAUAUAGUGUAGUUCGACUUGCCUGAUCCAUUAUCAUCCUUUGAGCAAAAAAAAAAACAAAUAGUCAAGUCAAUGGUCCCUUUUUAUUGAUUUUUAUUUCUUCAUUUGGCAAUAGGAUUAUUGGAGUUGGUUUAUAAUUCAAAACCAAGAGCAUCUGCGCAUUUUUUUUUAUAAAUAAAGAUCUUACAUCGUUCUUCAAUUUAUCCAUUUUCAAUUCAUGAGCUCUAUAUUCCCAGUAUCUGCGCAUUUUUUUUAAGAACAAAAAUAUAAAAGAAACCAAACACCCUCACCCUCACCCAAAAACCCCCAAUUAAAAGAAAGAAAAAAAAAAAAAAAAAAACCUUAUACGCCUAUAAAUAUGUGGGUUAUUCAUGUCAAGUUCACAUGAUCAAAUCAACUAUUGUAUAAAGAGCGAAAAGAAACUUACAGAUUCUUGGUUGCUUUCCAUGAUAAAAUUGGAGAGGGUGCAUAUUUUUAUUUUAUUUUUUUAAGGAAAGAAAGAAAUAGAACUAGGAGAGAGUAAGAAGUGGGAGAGACAGUGAACACCAACAGCCCCAACAGCAAAACAAAGUAGAGGGAAAUUUGGGGAAAAAAAUAGGGGGAAAGAAGAAAAAAACAAAAGGAAACAUUAGAUUGAUCCAUAUUAUAUAUUAAUUAGUAGGAAAAAUAAUUAUGAGAAUUUUAAAUAUAAAAUAAUGAUAAAAUAUUAUAUUUAAGACUUGUCACGUGAUGAGUUUUGAGUGUAUUAUAGUGUUACUCAAUGAAAUCCAAUGAUAAGUCAAGCUCUACAAAAAAAUUUCUCCUAAAGAACACCCAAGGCUUGUUCAAACAAAAAACUGGACAAAAUAGUAAAAUAUGUGCAUUAUCCAUGUGAGGAAUAUAAGUAUUAUCGAAAGAGAAAUGGUUUACAAUCCAACAAAAAGUAGGUAAGAAUUUAGAGUUUAUGGGCUCACUUUUUUGGGUGCUAGCUAAUGCAUUAGAGAAUAAAUAGUCUUGGAAACCGACUUGCAAGUGCAGAAAAGAAAUGGUUUGCCAAUGGAAGUAAAUUUAUUAGUUCAUCCAAAUUGCUCAUUGGUUCAAAACUUUCGUUUGUCUUUAUGCUUUUGUUUCCUUUCGAAACUUGCCUUCACAAUUUAAUAGGAUAAGAAACAAUAUUUUAUAACAAAAGUACAAUUCUUGUCCACCUUUUACCGGAUCAGGAUCCUCUUCUGAGCAAAUGGAGAGGAUCUUCCUGAUCAGGUCUAUCGGGCCGUUCAAAUUUUAUCCAACGACUAUAAUUAUUAUAACUUUUAGAGGAGUCCUCUAUUUGUAGCCGUUGGAUAAAAUUUGAAUGGUCCAAUGGGCCUGAUCAGAAGGAUCCUCUCCAUUUGCUCAGGAGAGGAUCCUGAUCCCCUUUUACCUGCAUUGUGGUUGGUGGGUUAUCUCUGUCACCAUAUGAAAGCUUCCCAUACAUGGUGAUCCAGUUUCCUGGUCAAUUCCAAGUCUCCCUCCACAGUCAAUCGAACUUUUUUCGUUUUCCUAUCUUGCUUGAUCACAACAACGUAAGAGAAAAUCAAACUUUUGUAUUGCUUGUUUUCUGAAUCUCUUUAUUUUGAGUUCCAAAUUUAAGAAUGUCUCAUUUUUUUCGUUAUCAUCCAUCCAACAAAAAUAAAAUAAAAUAAAAUAAAGUCAAGUCAAUGUCUCUUUUUAUUGAUUUUUAAUUUUUCCUCCCACUUCUAUUCUUUUACUAUUGUUUUUAAUAAUUUAACAAAAUUUGGAAAUUGGGGAUUGGCCUGGACUAUUGUUCUAUUAGCUCUUUCUAAUUGCUUUGAGCAAGAAGAAAGUAACCUAUUUGUUGAUGGCCAAUCCAGAUGUCUCGGUUCCUUUUUGCUAUCUUUUGUUGAUAUAGAGAGUAAAACUACUAUUGUUAUCCGAAAACCAUACCAUAUAUGUAGUAUAGUUUGAUUAGCCUAAUCCAUUAUAUAUCAUCUUUCCAACCAAAAAAAUAAAUUGAGUCAAGUCAAUGGUCUCUUUUUACUGAAUUUUAAUUCUUCAUUUGACAAUAUAAUUAUUGGAAUCUCUUUUUACUGAUUUUUAAUUCUUCAUUUGGCAAUAUAAUUAUUGGAGUUUGGUCCGUAAUUCAAAAUCAAGAACGUGCUUACAAUUUUAUACUACACUGUCAUGAAGCAUGCCAUAUGUGAAUUUGACUUUGGAUGAUUUAGAAUCUGUUAUUGUUAAUCUUUUUUAUAUUUUAAUCAUUUUUUCUCACAUUUUCAAAGUUACAUUAUCUGGUUUACUGGGAGUGGGGGAGCUUUUUAUUGGGGCGGCCUAGGAACAGUUUUCAGUGUGCUCUACGACAUCUUCAACGAGGUGAGGUGAGAAAUUUUUAGUUGUGACGGAAAUACGGAUAGUACACCACGUGUUUUUAUGUAAGUGGUGAAAAUUUUAAUUUUUAAGUUAUUAACCUUUUAACACACAUAACUCACCAUUUGUGUAGGAACACGUGGUGUACCACUUCGUGACAGUCACAUUGAAAAAUCUCUUCAACUAGGUGAAAGCAAAGACGUCCAUGUUCAAACCCGUCUUGGAUGUUGAGCUCUAUUUUGAUUUCCUUUACGUUGAUCAUGAUGACUAGUGGUAGGUCUAUGAAUUAUUUUCGAGGAGUUAAUGAGUAAUGGCGUGUUUACGUAAGGGGAAUAGAAAGGAGGGAAUGAGAAUUGCACUACUUUUAAGGGAUUCCGGUGUUUACCAACACUGGGGGAAUGAAAGUGUGGGUGGGACCCAUCCAAAAUGGGGAAUCAGGUUAUUGAUUUUCCCGGAAUUGAACUACUGAACAAUAGGUGGUAUUCGGACUCCCUGAGAAAGCAUCCGUCUGGAAUCAACUUUUUCUGCCCAAUAUACCCUUAUCUCCUUCUUCCUUCAACCUCUGUCUCUGCUCUCUUUGACAAAGGAAGAUGUAGCAGGUUUCAUGGCCUGCGGGAUUAUGGUUUCAUGACCAAAAUCAGAAGGGAAGAAGAUGAGGAUUUUGGAAUUUCAAUUUUGAUCAUUCGUCGGCCGCAAAGGAGACUUGACUGUGACUGGAAAGGGGAGCGGCUGGUGGUGACUGGAAAGGGGAGGUGGUCGCAGAUGAAGAGAGAGGGAUUUGUAGGGGAGGGAGAGAAAGCAAGGGGAGGCAACUGGAGUGACUGGAAAGGUACCUUUUCGCUGCCGUACCCGAUAGUCGCACCGCUGAGGAAACCUGACUGUGAAAUUUGUUGGAAGGGACUGCUGCAAAACAAAGCAAUGGAAGGAUACCGAGCGAGUUGAGACAAGCUGCGACCGAGUGGCUAGGUUUUUAUAUCUAUUUUUAUUUUAAUUAAUUGAUUUUUCGGAGGUUUAUUGAAUUAUCAAUCCUAAUCCAAUAAUAUUGGUGCGUGACUAACGCUGGUUGUUAUUAUUAUUUUUGUUUUUUUUUUUAACUUUUAAUUUUUGAGUGUCACUUUUUUUGGGUAAUGGGGCAGGAUAGAGGGUCUCAAUAAAAAAUGAAAAAAAGAAUAAAAGUUUUACUAAAGAAAAAAUAUACUUUCUACUAUAAAAAUAAAAAAAUAAAAAAGUUUAUGACACACCCCGAUCCUAUAAUCAAGGCGUGCUGGCCGUCACGUGAGUGUGACACGGAAGCAAGAUAUAACAGAAAUAUAAAGGAAUUUAAACCAACCACUAAAAGUAAAAACCUACUAGCAUCAAAGAGAGAGUUAUAAAGUAAACACACGAAUUCAGAGCGUAGGUCUAAGUGCAGUCAAGUAGGACCAUAAUUAAAGUACAACACCUGCAAGUGAGUCCUACAUGCAGAACGUCUGUCAGAAUGCCGAAAAAGACCUCGUGAGCCACCAACUGCUAACUAGAACCUGGAGGGGCGCAAAACAAAGAUGAGUGGGUCAGUAAAACCAAAAUUUUCCAAAACAUUUCAUUUAAAACAUUUCUAACCCCUCACCGUAAAACCUGUAUACUUUCCCAGAAAAAUAGUAUAUAAAUAUAUAUAUAUAUAUAUAUAUAUAUAUAUAUAUAUAUAUAUAUAUAUAUAUAUAUAUAUAUAUAUAUAUAUAUAUAUAUAUACGUAAAUCAUCAAAACUCAGCUUACCAUCUAUCAACAUAACAUCUCAAAAAGAAUAUGCCAUGCCAUGCCAAAAUAUAAUAUGAAUGCAUCAAUAUAACUCAGGUGAAAUAAUAAAUCAACCGGAGACCCUGCAGUGGUCCUGUACGGCUGAUUCUAUAGCUCAAUAUCCCAUCCAGCCGGAGUCACCAACUGUGACCUAUACGGCCGUGCCGGAGUCACCAACUGUGACCUGUACGGCACUACACUGCACAUAAGUUGGAACUACCUAUAGUAGUCUGUACGACUAAGAUGGUGAAAUAAUACGCUCUAGUGCUUCUCUCAUCAAUCAUCUGUGCACAUAAUCUAAAGUCACCCACCAGUCGGAACCCCUCUAAUGGUCUGUACGACUGGCAUGUCGGAACCACCUCUAGUGGUCUGUACGACAUCCACCUACUUGGAUCCAAGGCGAACGUGCGGUGUGGUGAAUACUAUAAGCACUAAUACCAAAGGUGCAGUUUAUGAGCUCACAACGCAAUCACAUCAUCAUUCAUUCAUAUAAACCAUAUAACUCACCUGAUACUCACAUGUGCGUCCACAGCGUCAAUUCACAUAUAUAUGCAUCAAUUAUCAAUUUAAAUAUCUCAACAAUUGCAUGCAUGGCAAUUUAAAUCAUAUUUUCAUAUAAACGCAUUUUCUGGGAAAAACAGUAGUAUGUAGGUAAUACGAAAACAAAACUGCCCACUCAUUGAUAAGUUGAUGGGUCGUAACCCCCGUGACGUCCCUGGAUGCGCUCGUCCUCGGGAUAGGUGUCACCUAUAUGCGAAACAACUAUAAAAACGUUAAUUUAAACACAUAACCAACAAUUCGAAAUAACUUCUCAUACGAUGCUCAAUUUGGGUAUAUGAAUAUAGCACAUCGACCUACUCGACGUCACGGACGUCGAGAAAUUUUUAGAAAAAUUUUUGGAAGCUGCACGCGCCCCCACGUGCCGGGACAGGCACGGGGACACGCGCCCCCACGCGCAUCAUCCCUAACCUGCCGGACUGAACUUUCCGGCGGCCGGUUUCCGGCCAACUUUGAAACUCCUUGUUCUCCUUCGUUUCUCAACCAUUUUCUUCGUAUUUUAUAUCAAUUUGAAGCCCCAAACAUGUAGAUUCACGAUAUACUACUUUAAAGCUCCAAAAACAACUAAAUCUCACCGGGAAAAUCCAAGAAAAACCGGCCAAACUCGAACCUAGUGAUCCCGACGUCCAAAACCUUCAAACGAAGCACUCCGAGCUUCCUUGGGACCUCACUAAGCUCACUAUAAGCUUAGAAUUCCCUGAAACACAACAUUUCACGUGUGCAUGAACAGUGAAAAAAAAUGAGGGGUUCGGGUUCACGUGAUAUCGAAGGUUCCACGUCCUAAAACUAGCACUAAUCAACUCAGAACAUCACAAGGAUGAAGAAUCUUACCUUGUUUGCUUCGAUCCACUGAGUUUUGGAUGGUUUUGGGUCUCGUUCGUACAAUCAGGGUGAGAGAGAGAGAGCAGGGAAUCGUGAGGGAGGAGAGAGAGAGUGAUACGGGGAAGAGGGAGAGAGCAGGGAAAGUAGAUGGUCCAACACCAAAUCCUCACCAUCCAUUUAAUCCCUAACCAAAAUUUUAUAAAACUAAAAUUUAAAUCCAAAACUUAUAUAGAAUUAAUCCAAAUAAUGUCACACACACGUACCUUAGCCCCCGCUAAGGGCAAAUCCGACAUUUCACGUCCUUAAUAAGAAAAUCUCGGGAUGGGCUGUGACAGUUUAACUAAAAAUAAUUAGCAUAUAAAUUAGAUUUGUUACAAUAGGGGCAUUUUAGUAAUCACGUUAAUUUUCAUUCCGAUUCAAGUGAAUUAGUAAACAAUUUAUAUAAGUUAAUGUCAUUCCUACUCAAAUUCCAGACAGUUUUAGUAAACAAUUCCAACAAGAAUUUGAUUCUGAUUCCACCCCAUUCUAAUUCCUCCUCAAUUCAAUUCCUCAUCAACUUAAUUCUCCUCAAUCUGAUUACGGAUUAGUAAACGAGCCAUAAAAGUAGUACUCAACUUUCUUUUAGAGCACAUAUAUUAGCGGAAAUUUUCUCCGGCACAUGUUUUUUCAUGAAUUAACUGUUGAGAUUUAGGACAAAUCUCAUUUCUGACCUGCUUUGAGGAUUGCAAGAAGACAAAAUUGUAUAGGCUCAAGUGCAAAAUAUGGGCUUAAACUUUUGCGUCUAGAAGAUUUUGGGUCAAGUUAGACCAUUGUUAGAACCAAUCAAAUAUUAAUCAUAUAAUAUAUAAUAUAUAUAUAUAUAUAUAUAAAAUAAUAAUUGCACACUUCAAUUCGAAUCACAAUUUUAUUAUAUAUACAAUCUACUAGAAUAUGAAUAAUUAGUAAAUUUCCAUAUAAAAUCACAACAAUAAUCAUUGACUUGGUUUCGAAAGAUAGAGACUUGCAGUAGCAAUCUUCUAAGAAAAAAAUACACCCCUACAUCAGUGUAGUAGUUCACAGAUGUCUAUCUUGCAAGAUACAACAAUCUAACCCAAGUUCUUGCACUCAAACUUGGGUUCUUGGCGAAUUUGCUAUGUGUCUCUCUGCGAAGGAUCAAAGAGAGAGCGAUGGAAUUAUGUUCUUCGUUUCUAAUAUCACAGCCAUAUAUAUAAUGGCGUUUUUGCAGCAGUUAUGGUUGUUCAUUUUUAUCCUUUCAAAAAGGAUGUAACUGUUUUUUGUAAUCAGUUUUUUUCCAAAAAUCUUAUCCUUUCAGAAAAACUGAAUCCUAAAAUUCGUACUUGUGUUUUUUGUCCAACCGAGCCCAAGAGCCGCCCAUCUUUGACAUUUAAUAUAUACACCCAAAUCUUCAAAGUCUAAGGCUCAAAGUUCAUGGCUUUGGCCCAAUUCCUUUCAAACAAUGAGUGAACUCACUUAUAAAGAGGAAUUAGGAAGAGUUUAUGGUCGAUGUGAGACAAUGGUUCCUCACAAGCUCCAACAAACAUCUCUCCAAGAGAAACUCUAAAAAAAAUUUAAACUAGCAAGUGAACAGUAUAAAAAAAAUUUAGCUGCUCAACUUAAUUUUUCAUCUCCAACAACACUCUAUUUUAACAAACUUUGAAUAUUUCAUUAUUAAAAAUUCAAACUCAAUCCACUCAUUUUGUAAAAUAAUAUUCCCUCUUCAUUUUCUCCUUGCUCAAGAGUCUACCCUCCAUUGUUAGUUUUUUUCACAUUUAGCAAGUGAAUAGCUGCACUCUAAAUUUAAAGAGUGACCAUUCAUUUUGUUAUAAAGAGACUAUUUUACAACAUCUUUUGGGGAUGAAUUUUUUUAAGUUUUUCUUUAAAAUAGAGUUUUGAUUGUUUUACAACAAAAAAUACGAAAUUCCAAUUGCCCUGUUAGUGUGGUGGUACAAAAAAUAUAGAAAAUAAAUUUAAAAGGGUAGAUUAGUAAAUUGCCUAUAUGGUAGGAGUUGAAGUUAAGGAUUCUUCCUUAUAUUAAGAGCAUUUUUAUUUGGGUAUUUUUUUUUGGAUACUUUGGAAGCAGUUCCUAAUCCUUAACAUUAUUUAAUUAAAACCUUAAUAGUAUUCAAAGUUUGAUCAAAGUCUCUUGACUUUGUACACCUCAUUAUAUUACUAUUAAUAUUUAUAUUUUCAUAGUUUUGACAUUAAUUGUUUGAUAUUUUAUGAGUUUAUAAUCCUAUAAAUUUAAAAUUCCUCAUUAUAAUACUAUGUAAAAAUAAGAAAUAAUAAAUGGCAAAAUAAUGUAUCCAUAGUGUUAAAAAAAUUGGUACAUUUCACAUAUGUACAUUAAUAAAGAAGAAUGGGUACAUUAUAAAUAAAUUAGGGUACAUAUAAAAGAUUAAAAAAUUAUGAGUACAAAUGAAUUUUAAAAAAAUAUAGGCCCUAAAAGAAAUUAAUACAUGGGCACAAAAUAAAACUAAAAAGAAAAUACUACAAAUUUUAAAAAAAUGUUGCAAAUUAAAAGUGGGUACAAACUAAAAAUAUAAAUAUAUGAUACAAAGGUUAGGCAUAAAACAUAAAUAUACCAUAUGUAAUUUUUCUAUCAUUGAUUAAAUAUACAAUGUCACGUGACGAGAAUUAUUAGCCUCCCAUUGAAGCAGAAUCGGAUUCUUCCUUGUAUCAAGAGAGCUUUUUUAUUUGGGUUUUUCAUACGGCUCUGUUCUUCUUUUGUCUCUAAGUUUUGAUUGAAAUUAUUACAAGUUAGUUUUCGGAUUUUUCGGUGUCGGUUUUUGUUUGAGAGAAGCUGGAAUGGGAGGAGUUGGGGAGCUUUUUGCAAGUGCUGCUGUAGGGGCCUUGUUUACUGUGCUGUAUGAGGUUGUUAAGGAUGUCGAGGACAAGACUAUGAUGUUUAGAGAGCUCCUCGGAGAUCUCGAUUCCACGCUAGAAGGGUUAAAGCCGCUGAUCAAAGACAUAGCCAAGUACAAAGAGGUGUUGGAUCAAUCAAACAAGGAAGUAGAAAAAAAUUUAUCUAUAUAUUUAGUUUUUCUAGCAUUACUCUAGAUAUUAUAUAUUGAGAUAUUUUAAGAUGUAGUUUACCAUAUUUUAAUUUAAUGCAUACAUAUAAUCAAUAUGCCAUUUAUAAGAUAAUACAGUUGAUAUCGUCGAUAUUGCAAAGUUUAAAUUUUCAAAAUAUGAUCGGUACUACUCGACUGAAGAGCAGUUACUGCAACGUAGAAAGAAUGGUAAAAAUUGAGGAAAAUGAUCAUCGUCGAAUUAUUUUCUUAGGGAUCAUGUGAUCAGGACCGUAUUGAUUCAACACUUUCGUUUGUCUUUAUACUUUUGUCUCCUUUCGAAAGUUGGUUUCACAAUUUAAUAAUAUGGUCUCUCUCUACUGUGAAAGUUGGUUUCGUGGUGAAUUUCCAAGUCUCCCUCCACACUCCAACUCGGAAAUUUUCCUGGUGCAGCUACUGUUGAAGUCAACGCGCUACAACCCCGAAAUUUCUUUCGAGCUUCGAUAGUAAGUAUUUAUAUGCCAAAACCCAGACAGUUUGGAGAAAACCCUAACUUUGUGUUGCUUGUUUUCUUAAUCUCUUUAUUUUGGAAACCAAAUUUAUGUGUCUCACUUUUCUACGGUUUCUAAAUUCGUAAUUCUUAUCAAGUAUCGGCGACAUACUGAAAACUGAUAAUUUCCGCAAUUGGGUGAAAAAUGAUCGUUUCGGCCAAUUUUCCUCUACUUUUGUAAGUUUUUUCUGAUUUUGGUGUUGGUUUUUGUUGUUAAGAAUCAAGGAAUGAGUGGAGCAGCCGGCCUUAUCGGGCGGGGCUGCUAUCGGAACAUCGUUCAAUGUGCUGGAUGAUGUCCUCGAUGAGCUGAUUACCAAGAAUGUAAUUUUUAAGCCCCUCCUCAAAGGCAUCAAAUCCAGGUUAGACUCUUUGGCACCAUGGUUGAAAUAUAUAGAAAAAUCCUACAAGAAAUUGGAUCUAUCGGAUAAGGAACUGGUAAACUUGGAAGUACAUUUGGAGGAGGGCGUAGAGCUCGUUCAGAAGUGCAAAAAGGUUCGAUGGUGGAGCAUGUACAAAAGAUACAAAUACGCCAACAGGCUGAUUGACUGGGAUGGAUCUCUUCAACGAUUUCUGGAAAUACUAAACGUUCAGGGAAUAAGGGAUGUGAAGGAAAGCACGGUUUCGGUGAGGAAUAUGGAGAAGCUGAUCAGCAGAAUUGAAUCGAAUAUGGGGAUACAUUUGGCUGUUUCAAGGGAGACAUUUGGUUCAGUUCCAGAACUUCCACGUGUUACAGUUGGAUUGGAUGAGCCUUUGAGGGAUUUGAAGGAGAUGCUUCUUAAGGACGAUGUCUCAAUGUUAGUGCUGACUGCUACCGGAGGAUGGGGGAAAACCACAUUGGCAACGAAAUUCUGUCAAGAUGAGGAAGUCAAAGGUAUGAUAAUACUUUCUAAUUGCUAAUUAAUUGAGAAGUGUUAUAGAUGUCGUUCGUUGAGUUGAAGCCUUUUGUAUGAAUUAAUUUGAUUUAAUACCAAAUCAAACCCAGCUUCGGAUAUAUAUAACACCAAAGUUAAUCCACAAGUGUAAUAUUUCAAUUGCUUGAAUAUUAUGUCUUAUUGGAUAUCUGGUUUCAAAAUUCAAGCUUUCUUUUUGCCAAGACACUUGUGGUAUAUCAGUAAAGAAUCGUCCCCAUUACGGUUCACAUCUGAGUCUUACAGGAAUAUAAAUGGAAAACCUCAUGAGUAGGAAUUUACUACACUAGCUUCAUGAUUGGACUACGUUCCAUUACGAAUACUUUACUCGUUUCAUACUCUUUGCAUAUACUAGGGCUGUACUUGAGAUCAAGAUUUAAUUUUUUCUACCUCAAUGUUACCAUCGUGUAGAGAGGUCGCACUUGGUGUGAUGGCAAGUGCCUUCGCCCAUGAGCGGUAGGUCUCGGGUUCGAGACUUGGGAGCAGCCUCUCCAUAAAUGGGGGUAAGGCUAGCCGACAUUCACCUCUCCCAGACCCUGCGUAAAGCGGGAGCCUUGUGCACUGGGUACGACCUUUAAUGUUACCAUCGUGUAUUGUUUUUUGUUUACACAUUUAUCUAAAUUAUUUCUUGUAUUGUAUUUUGAUAGAUAAAUUCAAGGAAAAUAUAUUCUUUGUCACUGUUUCGGUACACCCCAACUCAGAUGUAGAAAAGCUAUAUCAACGCAUGAAGUCUCAGGAAGCAGGACAAGAUCCUUUACUGCUGGUCCUGGAUGAUGUUUGGUCCAACUCUGUUCUUCAGAAGUUUGUUGAAUUGAAAUUGCGAAAUUACAAGAUCUUGGUGACAUCGAGAUCUGAAUUUCCAGGAUUUGGCACUCCAUAUAAACUCAAACCCUUGAAUUAUAAAGAUUCAAUGACUCUUUUGCGUCAUUCAGCAGCCCUGGGAGAUAGCUUGUCUGUUCCAGAAGAUCUCCUGAGAGAGGUUUAUUUCUCACUAUGCAAUUCAUGACACAAUAUACUUAUCAAGGCACAGAAGCGAACACCCAUUUUACCAUAUGAACGUGCAAAUGAUCAUUCACGAAUCACAUAUGAUUUUAAUUAAGAACUAAAACUAAAAUAACAAUCAAGAUAAGUAGGUAGUCAUUAACCAUUUUCAUGAAACCAUUGAGAUGUUAAACGAAACUUGAACUUACAGUCUGCAACUCAGAUGGGGUUGACAUCAUUUGGUACAACUAACCUGCAGAUACUAAAGCACUGUAAGGGAGUUCCGCUUGCCAUUACAGUGACCGGGAACUCACUUAGUGGACAAGCAGCAGAAUCCUGGCUUUCAAGACUAGAAGACUGGCGUAGAGAUUCUAUUCUUGAUUAUGAGACUAAGUUGCUUCUUUGCCUUAAAAGUAGCAUAGAUGCCUUAGGUGACAAAGAGGCUAUCAUCAGGGAAUGUUUCAUGGACCUUGUUUCAUUUCCUGAAGAUCAAAGAAUCUCUGCUGCUGCUUUCAUUGAUAUGUGGUCAGAGUUAUAUAUGCUAGAUGGGGACUUUCGGUCCAUCAAGAACCUCCACGAGCUCGCCAGGAAAGGUCUGGCAAAUCUUGUGAUCACUAGGUACGCAAGAUUUUAUGCUUCUCCAGUACAAUAUUCUCUUUGAAAAUUUCUAUAUUCAUGAGUAGCUCCUACCAUAAUAUACAACUGCAAGUCUGCAACUGACUGAGUUUGCAUUGUUACCAGGAAUGAGAAUAUGGCGAUUCUGGAUAACUACUAUAGCGAACACUUUGUUCGCCAGCAUGAUAUGCUUAGAGAUCUGGGUAUCUACAUUGCGAAACUAGACCCAAUAGAAGAUAGAAAAAGACUGAUUGUCGUAAGUGGACGCAAUCAACCCAAGUGGUUGAGGGAGCAGAAGUCUCAACCCAUCAAUGCUCGCCUAUUAUCUAUCUCCUCUGGUGGUCCCAUCUCUCUCUCUUUAUAAAAUGCAUAUACAUGCAUCUACCUAUGACCAGCAUAUGUACACACACGUACAUACGCAUUCGUGCGUGCUCACAUCCAAACACACACACACUCAGAUUUGAAUAGCACUAUCAUUUAUUUUCUCCACACAUAUCAACACAUAAACAAGUACAUGCAUAUGUACACACGCAAAUGCACGUGCACACACAGACACACACGCUAAAAUAUGCAGUAAAGUUUCAUUUAAUUCUCACCUACUCAUAUCUCGUAGCAUAUUGUUUGCAGAUGGAACGUACCCAACACAAUGGCAGAGUGUUCAUCUACCACAAGUUGAGGUUCUAGUUUUGAAUUUUAAGACAGAGAACAAUGCCUUACCUGAAUUUGUGCAGAAAAUUGAC